rnacentral:rRNA from 1 species
AGAGUUUGAUCAUGGCUCAGGAUGAACGCUAGCGGCAGGCUUAAUACAUGCAAGUCGUGGGGCAGCAUGACUGUAGCAAUACAGUUGAUGGCGACCGGCAAACGGGUGCGGAACACGUACACAACCUUCCUUUUAGUGGAGAAUAGCCCAGGGAAACUUGGAUUAAUACUCCGUAACAUAUAGAAGUGGCAUCACUUUUAUAUUAAAGCAGUAAUGCGCUAGAAGAUGGGUGUGCGGCUGAUUAGAUAGUUGGCGGGGUAACGGCCCACCAAGUCGACGAUCAGUAACUGGUGUGAGAGCACGACCAGUCACACGGGCACUGAGACACGGGCCCGACUCCUACGGGAGGCAGCAGUAAGGAAUAUUGGUCAAUGGACGCAAGUCUGAACCAGCCAUGCCGCGUGAAGGAUGAAGGUCCUCUGGAUUGUAAACUUCUUUUAUAUGGGAAGAAAUUCUCGCAUUCUUGCGGGAUUGACGGUACCAUAGGAAUAAGCACCGGCUAACUCCGUGCCAGCCGCCGCGGUAAUAC